rnacentral:pre_miRNA from 1 species
GUCAUUCUGAUCAAGUGGUUCUCAACAGUUCAACAGUUCUUUGAGAAAAUUGUGAAAUGUUUAGGACCACUUGAGCAGUCGGACAAAUGCUGCCAUCU